AUGAGGAACACAGUUAUGCAAUUGUGGUUGGGUGAAUGAAGCUCACGCCUGCUUUGUCUGAAACAUCAGACACAUAAGCUGACCUGACAACAGAGGUAUCAGAUGUAUCAGCCCUCUUAGAUCACUCCUUACCUGGCAUAUGCCAAGAUCAGCGCUCUCUCCCCGGGAGGCUUGAUACCCUCUGAUACAUUUGGACCCUCAUCGCUGGGUGUUCAGACAUCAUUUCACAGGCUUGUACUAAAUGCACCAAAAGCUGCACCAUAGAGAAAUCAACCCCUCUCCAAACUGAAGCUCAGCUUAUCUAAUUGUGCGCAUACAAAUAGCUCUUUUAUGAGCUGGUUCUGUUUAUAUUUUUUACCCUGAGGAAACGUGUUAUAAUCAGGUAUACAUGAUGAAACCUAGAGAAAUGCAGGAUUCUAAUUGUGCUGUUAAAUUUAUGUAGUAAACCCUGCUGAAUGGACAGAGUGAUUUACAAAAAAAAUAAAAAAAGGAAUGAUAUUUUGCACUGGCAAAAGUGUAUACCUGAAAAGAA